rnacentral:rRNA from 1 species
ACGUAGGGUGCGAGCGUUAAUCGGAAUUACUGGGCGUAAAGCGUGCGCAGGCGGUUUGUUAAGAUAGGCGUGAAAUCCCCGGGCUCAACCUGGGAACUGCGCGUAUGACUGGCAGGCUAGAGUACGGCAGAGGGGGGUGGAAUUCCACGUGUAGCGGUGAAAUGCGUAGAGAUGUGGAGGAACACCAUUGGCGAAGGCAGCUACCUGGGUCGAUACUGACGCUCAUGCGUGAAAGCGUGGGGAGCAAACAG